UUACUCUGGUUUCCCUUCAAAACGCAUAAAUCUUUCGCCUUUUACUAAAGAUUUCCGUGGAGGGGAACACUCAAAUGAGUCUUAUUUAUUUUUUGAAAGUCCUGCUCUAGCAGGAUU
rnacentral:snRNA from 1 species